UUGCUGUUCGUUUUGCCAAAGGAACGCGA
rnacentral:sRNA from 1 species